GGCAAAGCGGCGGCUACCAUGCAGUCGAGCGGCAGCGGGAGGAAGCUUGCUUCCUCGCCGGCGAGCGGCGGACGGGUGAGUAAUGUCUGGGGAUCUGCCCGAUGGAGGGGGAUAACCACUGGAAACGGUGGCUAAUACCGCAUAACGUCGCAAGACCAAAGUGGGGGACCUUCGGGCCUCACACCAUCGGAUGAACCCAGAUGGGAUUAGCUAGUAGGUGGGGUAAUGGCUCACCUAGGCGACGAUCCCUAGCUGGUCUGAGAGGAUGACCAGCCACACUGGAACUGAGACACGGUCCAGACUCCUACGGGAGGCAGCAGUGGGGAAUAUUGCACAAUGGGCGCAAGCCUGAUGCAGCCAUGCCGCGUGUGUGAAGAAGGCCUUCGGGUUGUAAAGCACUUUCAGCGAGGAGGAAGGUGGUGAGCUUAAUACGCUCAUCAAUUGACGUUACUCGCAGAAGAAGCACCGGCUAACUCCGUGCCAGCAGCGGCGGUAAUAAA
rnacentral:rRNA from 1 species